GAGGCCUAAUACAUGCAAGUCGAACGGUAACAGGGGUAGCAAUACCCGCUGACGAGUGGCGCACGGGUGCGUAACGCGUACACAAUCUGCCUUAUACUGGAGCAUACCCCCAAGAAAUUGGGACUAACUCUCCAUAACAUAUUUAGUAGGCAUCUACAGAAUAUUAAUACUCCGGUGGUAUAAGAUGAGUGUGCGUCCGAUUAGGUAGUUGGUGAGGUAAAGGCUCACCAAGCCAACGAUCGGUAGCUGGUCUGAGAGGACGAUCAGCCACACGGGCACUGAGACACGGGCCCGACUCCUACGGGAGGCAGCAGUAGGGAAUAUUGGACAAUGGGCGCAAGCCUGAUCCAGCCAUCCCGCGUGAGGGAUUAAGGCCCUAUGGGUUGUAAACUUCUUUUCUCUGGGAAUAAAAAGUGGAGUUCACUCCGCCUUGAAGGUACCAGAGGAAUAAGCACCGGCUAACUCCGUGCCAGCCGCCGCGGUAAAAC
rnacentral:rRNA from 1 species